rnacentral:rRNA from 1 species
CCUACGGGUGGCAGCAGUGAGGAAUAUUGGUCAAUGGACGAGAGUCUGAACCAGCCAAGUAGCGUGAAGGAUGACUGCUCUAUGGGUUGUAAACUUCUUUUAUAUGGGAAUAAAAUGUUCCAAGUGUGGGAUUUUGUAUGUACCAUAUGAAUAAGGAUCGGCUAACUCCGUGCCAGCAGCCGCGGUAAUACGGAGGAUCCGAGCGUUAUCCGGAUUUAUUGGGUUUAAAGGGAGCGUAGGUGGAUUGUUAAGUCAGUUGUGAAAGUUUGCGGCUCAACCGUAAAAUUGCAGUUGAAACUGGCAGUCUGGAGUACAGUAGAGGUGGGCGGAAGUCGUGGUGUAGCGGUGAAAUGCUUAGAUAUCACGAAGAACUCCGAUUGCGAAGGCAGCUCACUGGACUGCAACUGACACUGAGGCUCGAAAGUGUGGGUAUCAAACAGGAUUAGGUACCCUUGUAGUC